rnacentral:rRNA from 1 species
UGUUAAUAUUCCUGUACUUCUGGUUACUGCGAUGGAGGGACGGAGAAGGCUAGGCCAGCUUGGCGUUGGUUGUCCAAGUUUAAGGUGGUAGGCUGAAAUCUUAGGUAAAUCCGGGGUUUCAAGGCCGAGAGCUGAUGACGAGUCGUCUUUUAGAUGACGAAGUGGUUGAUGCCAUGCUUCCAAGAAAAGCUUCUAAGCUUCAGGUAACCAGGAACCGUACCCCAAACCGACACAGGUGGUCGGGUAGAGAAUACCAAGGCGCUUGAGAGAACUCGGGUGAAGGAACUAGGCAAAAUGGCACCGUAACUUCGGGAGAAGGUGCGCCGGCUAGGGUGAAGGAUUUACUCCGUAAGCUCUGGCUGGUCGAAGAUACCAAGCCGCUGCGACUGUUUAUUAAAAACACAGCACUCUGCAAACACGAAAGUGGACGUAUAGGGUGUGACGCCCCCCCGGUGCCGGAAGGUUAAUUGAUGGGGUUAGCGCAAGCGAAGCUCUUGAUCGAAGCCCCGGUAAACGGCGGCCGUAACAAUAACGGUCCUAAGGUAGCGAAAUUCCUUGUCGGGUAAGUUCCGACCUGCACGAAUGGCGUAACGAUGGCGGCGCUGUCUCCACCCGAGACUCAGUGAAAUUGAAAUCGCUGUGAAGAUGCAGUGUAUCCGCGGCUAGACGGAAAGACCCCGUGAACCUUUACUGUAGCUUUGCACUGGACUUUGAGCCUGCUUGUGUAGGAUAGGUGGGAGGCUUUGAAGCGUGGACGCCAGUUCGCGUGGAGCCAUCCUUGAAAUACCACCCUGGCAUGCUUGAGGUUCUAACUCUGGUCCGUAAUCCGGAUCGAGGACAGUGUAUGGUGGGCAGUUUGACUGGGGCGGUCUCCUCCUAAAGAGUAACGGAGGAGUACGAAGGUGCGCUCAGACCGGUCGGAAAUCGGUCGCAGAGUAUAAAGGCAAAGGCGCGCUUGACUGCGAGACAGACACGUCGAGCAGGUACGAAAGUAGGUCUUAGUGAUCCGGUGGUUCUGUAUGGAAGGGCCAUCGCUCAACGGAUAAAAGGUACUCCAGGGGAUAACAGGCUGAUACCGCCCAAGAGUUCACAUCGACGGCGGUGUUUGGCACCUCGAUGUCGGCUCAUCACAUCCUGGGGCUGAAGCCGGUCCCAAGGGUAUGGCUGUUCGCCAUUUAAAGUGGUACGCGAGCUGGGUUUAGAACGUCGUGAGACAGUUCGGUCCCUAUCUGCCGUGGACGUUUGAGAUUUGAGAGGGGCUGCUCCUAGUACGAGAGGACCGGAGUGGACGAACCUCUGGUGUUCCGGUUGUCACGCCAGUGGCAUUGCCGGGUAGCUAUGUUCGGAAAAGAUAACCGCUGAAAGCAUCUAAGCGGGAAACUUGCCUCAAGAUGAGAUCUCACUGGGAACUUGAUUCCCCUGAAGGGCCGUCGAAGACUACGACGUUGAUAGGCUGGGUGUGUAAGCGUUGUGAGGCGUUGAGCUAACCAGUACUAAUUGCCCGUGAGGCUUGACC